GAUGAACGCUGGCGGCGUGCUUAACACAUGCAAGUCGAACGGAAAGGCCCAAGCUUGCUUGGGUACUCGAGUGGCGAACGGGUGAGUAACACGUGGGUGAUCUGCCCUGCACUUCGGGAUAAGCCUGGGAAACUGGGUCUAAUACCGGAUAGGACCACAUUUUGGAUGGUGUGGUGGAAAGUUUUUCGGUGUGGGAUGAGCUCGCGGCCUAUCAGCUUGUUGGUGGGGUAAUGGCCUACCAAGGCGUCGACGGGUAGCCGGCCUGAGAGGGUGUACGGCCACAUUGGGACUGAGAUACGGCCCAGGCUCCUACGGGAGGCAGCAGUGGGGAAUAUUGCACAAGGGGCGCAAGCCGGAUGCAGCGGCGCCGCGGGGGGGAUGACGGCCUUCGGGUUGUAAACUCCUUUCGCUAGGGACGAAGCGUUAUGUGACGGUACCUGGAGAAGAAGCACCGGCUAACUACGUG
rnacentral:rRNA from 1 species